rnacentral:rRNA from 1 species
GACAGAGGGUGCAAACGUUGUUCGGAAUUACUGGGCGUAAAGCGCGUGUAGGCGGCUAAGUAAGUCGGGCGUGAAAUCCCACGGCUCAACCGUGGAAGUGCACUCGAAACUGCAUAGCUAGAGUCCUGGAGAGGAAGGUGGAAUGCUUGGUGUAGAGGUGAAAUUCGUAGAUAUCAAGCGGAACACCGGUGGCGAAGGCGGCCUUCUGGACAGUGACUGACGCUGAGGCACGAAAGCGUGGGGAGCAAACAGG